rnacentral:rRNA from 1 species
CACAAAUGAUGAAGGCGGGCUGGAACCUCUCGGGGUUACAGCCUUGCUGAAUUAUUCACCCUUGUCUUUUGCGUACUUCUUGUUUCCUUGGUGGGUUCGCCCACCACUAGGACAAACAUAAACCUUUUGUAAUUGCAAUCAGCGUCAGUAACAAAUUAAUAAUUACAACUUUCAACAACGGAUCUCUUGGUUCUGGCAUCGAUGAAGAACGCAGCGAAAUGCGAUAAGUAGUGUGAAUUGCAGAAUUCAGUGAAUCAUCGAAUCUUUGAACGCACAUUGCGCCCUUUGGUAUUCCAAAGGGCAUGCCUGUUCGAGCGUCAUUUGUACCCUCAAGCUUUGCUUGGUGUUGGGCGUCUUGUCUCUAGCUUUGCUGGAGACUCGCCUUAAAGUAAUUGGCAGCCGGCCUACUGGUUUCGGAGCGCAGCACAAGUCGCACUCUCUAUCAGCAAAGGUCUAGCAUCCAUUAAGCCUUUUUUUCAACUUUUGACCUCGGAUCAGGUAGGGAUACCCGCUG